rnacentral:lncRNA from 1 species
AACUUCAUCAAAAACUACCUUGACCAAAAACUUUAACCUGAAACUUUGCACUAUCAUUUUCUAUGUUCAGUGAACCAUGAAAUUGGGUCAAAACUAUAAUUUGGCAUUAAAAUUAGAAAGAUCAUAUCAUGGGGAACAUGUGUAUCAAGUUUCAAGUUGAUUGGACUUCAGCUUCAUCAAAAACUACCUCGACCAAAAACUUUAACCUGAAGCGAACGGACGCACAGACGGACGCACAGACGGACGAACGAACGGAGGCACAGACCAGAAAACAUAAUGCCCCUCUACUAUCGUAGGUGGGGCAUAAAAAACC